CUAAUGGAGAGUUUGAUCCUGGCUCAGGACGAACGCUGGCGGCGUGCCUAAUACAUGCAAGUCGAGCGGAGUCUCAGAGAAGCUUGCUUCUCUGAGAC
rnacentral:ncRNA from 1 species